ensembl:lncRNA
AUCACAUGAAGAUAUAAACUAUUCCAAAGUUUUGAGUUUCGUCACAGUGAAAAAAAAUAAAUCGAUCAGAGUCUCAUCUUUAAUCUCACACAGUGAGAAGGACGGUCAGCAUCCAUAUAUUUUGCCACAGUAUCAUUCACAGGAUAUAUUUUAAAUAAAAUGAACUUGUUCUGUCUAACUGGGAAUGCAGUAUUUGUGAGGAAUCAACACAUUUGUGUUUUUUAUUUUAUUUCCAACAUAUAAUAUAAAGGUACUGAACAAAUAUAAACUCACAUUAAUGGAGUUGUUCUCACGUUGCUUCACAGCUGUGACAUCAUGGAUUACGUGUUGGUCAGAGUCCCGCCCCCUGUAUCAGGAUUGCCCCGCCCACGUUUCUCCCUGUACCUGUCCUCUCAGCUGCAGUAUGGAGUGGUGCUUGUCUACCACAGACAGUGUGAAUUUUUGUUAGGUUGGUGUGCUCAAACUUGAGGGUAAAUGAUCAUUUGUGGGCUGGGACAAUUUUUUUAAGUCAAAAAUAUUCACUUGUAUACUUUUAUAAGGAUAUUAUUGAAAUGCCCCUAAUAUAUUCUUUAGGCUUGAUUUAGCAUGUAACAAAAGAAGCUUUUUGCAGUUUUGACUGCAUCUUUGCUCUUUUAAGAUGACAAAGUGGAUUACAGUGCAGUCUUAGAGCUGAUAAGGAUCAUGAAAUUUGUAGAAUUUAGAGAUUUUGAUGUGUCCACUGAUUGUGUUUCUGUAUUUUUUUAAUUAAUGUUGUUUUCUCAGAGGACACUCAGGGGGCAAUAGAUAGAUUGCUCCGCCUUAACUUGAAGUCCAACAUUGAUAUGGGGGAUGAAGAAACCAGGCAGAGUCACAUGAUCCCAGAUGCUGCUGCACUAUUUGAUGAAACAGAGGGAGCGAGGGAUCCAUUCUUUGGAGUUAUGGAGACUGGUUAUGGCCUGCCAAGUCCAAGCAGCCUCAUCCAGGUGGAUGCAACUCUGAAUUUUAAAGACAAAUUUCUAUUAAUCAAGAAACAAAACUGUAUCAUGAUUUCCACCAAAAUAUUAAGCAUCACAACUGUUUUCAGCAUUGAUAAUAAUAAUAAUAAUAAAUGUUUCUCGAGCAGACAUCAGUAUAUUAGAAUGAUUUCUGAAGGAUCAAGUGACAAUCGAGUAAUGAUGCUGAAAAUUCAGCUUUGCAUCACAGGAAUAAAUUACAUUUUAAAAUAUAUUCAAAGAGUAUUAUUAUUUACUGUAUCAAAAAGAUCAAAUAAAAAAUGCAGCCUUUGUUAGUAUUUGAGACAUAAAAAAUCUUACCAACCCCAAACAUUCAAGCAGGUAGUGUAAUUUCUAGGUGUUAUUAAUUUGUUUGUUUUUUUGGUUAAGGAUGGGUUUUAUCAGUCAUGUGUAGUCUAACCUCUCUCACUGUGGCUCAGCGAAUGGAAGAGGUCUUACCUGAGCAAGUCCCGCCCACUAGAGAACCAACACCACCUUCAGAUGGUGAGUACUGUAAUGUGAUCCACUGCCACAGCAGCACACUUUUACAAAUAUCAAUAGUCUUUCAAAUGAUGCUAUGGGAAUUUGCACAGUCAAAGUAAUGAUAAUAACAGACCAGUAAUAACAAAAAUGAGAAGACAGACAUAUAGAAAUGUGCAUUUUAUGUAUUUUUAAACCUCCUUAUUUCCCCUCUAGGCAUCACGGCCAGCCAGGAGUCCAUCACCCUGACAGAAAGAGAGCCAGUCGUCAUGCCUGAGCCAGAGGUACAGCUGUCACUCAGUGUUAUCACCAUAUAAUCGCUGUAUAAAAUCCUGAAUGCUGUUUCUCUCAUUCCUCAGUUUGAAGGAGCAGAUCUGCAGGAGUCUGACAUGAUCGAGCUACUGCUGGAGCAGCCAGAUCACUUUCUUGAGCGUGAGUGAUGGCAACAUGCUGUUUUCAUUCACACCCUUAAUUAUGUGCAGUAAUUAUCCAGAUCCAGAUUACACAUGCACAGACUAAUUGUACAACUCACACGAAACAUGUUCAUAUUUCACCCUGAAAUCAAUAAAUUUAAAUAUUCAUGCUUUUCA